CCUACGGGGGGCAGCAGUGAGGAAUAUUGGUCAAUGGGCGGGAGCCUGAACCAGCCAAGUCGCGUGAGGGAAGACGGUCCUAUGGAUUGUAAACCUCUUUAGGCGGGGAGCAAUGCCGGGCACGUGUGCCCGGAGGGAGAGUACCCGCAGAAUAAGCAUCGGCUAACUCCGUGCCAGCAGCCGCGGUAAUACGGAGGAUGCGAGCGUUAUCCGGAUUUAUUGGGCGUAAAGGGUGCGUAGGCGGCCUGCUAAGUCUGGAGUGAAAGGUACCGGCUCAACCGGUACAGGCUCUGGAAACUGGCGGGCUAGAGAGCAGGAGAGGGCGGUGGAACUCCAUGUGUAGCGGUAAAAUGCGUAGAUAUAUGGAAGAACACCAGUGGCGAAGGCGGCCGCCUGGCCUGUUACUGACGCUGAGGCACGAAAGCGUGGGGAGCAAAUAGGAUUAGAUACCCCUGUAGUC
rnacentral:rRNA from 1 species